GAUCCUCGGUAGCGAAGGGCUGGAGGCAAACACCGAGCUCCCCCUGAGCCGCCUGGGAGCAGGGAGGGUUCUGCUACCCUGAGGGGCCCUCCCCGCGGGGCAGAGGGGACCAGCCCAACAUGGCUUCCAACACAGAGACCAGAAGGACCCAAUAAGAGACCGAAGACACGACUGAUAAUACAGAAAGGAGGGUGAUGCUGUGUGCAAGGCAGAUACAAGAUGGUUUUUCCAUAAGAGGAAGUGAUCAUGGCAACCAUGACCUUCUCUGACCUUCUCUCUUCCAAGAGGCUGUUGGGAAGGUGGGAUGACCUAGGAUUGACCUUGGACUUGACAUCACAGAAGCCAUUUCAACCUUCACAGGGUUUCCUCAGCAGUGCCCCGGAGCAGGGACCGCGCCAGCCAGCAGAAACAGCUAGUUGUUGUCUGCAGUGAAGAAUAAUUGGAAGCAUGGUGCCUGUUUCUUUUCCUAGGAGUGUUCCACUGACUGACCUCUUUUUGUUUUCAAAUGAAGAGGAGCCAAGAAUAGGACAGCUUGGGAAGCUCAUCCUCGUCUACGGCCAAACGUUGGUUUCUCAUUUCUAGAAGAUGAAAGAUGUGAUGACUCAGGAAAAACUGGAAUCUUAGUAACUGUGGUGGGCAUUGAGCCUUGCCGUCCACAAGAGAAAGCUUGCUGCUCGAGAUGUGAGUCUUCAGAUGUUCCUGCCGCCAUAUCUGACAGCUGCUGCCAAGAUUCCCUGGUGGGAUGGACUCUUAUACCUCAACAACCAGAAGCCCAAGUAAACUCUUCUAUAAAUUGAAUGACUCAUGCUUAAAAAAAAAAACAAAAAACAAACUAUCUUUA
rnacentral:lncRNA from 1 species